AUAAUAAUCAUCCACUGAAUCAAAUAUCACUUAUAGGUACUUCAUCUGAUUUGUAUCACCCCCCCCCCCCCCCCCUUUUUUUCCAGAACCCUAAAACAGGGUGCAUAAUUCAUAGGAACAACCGUGCAAAGGCAAUUGUGAAAAAGAAGUUUGAAAAUCUUGAAAUCAUGGUAUAUAUAUGUGAACUCAAACAUUAUUCUUAUUCUUAUGCUUAUUCAUAUUCUUAUGCUUAUUCAUAUUCUUAUUCUUAUUCAGAAAUCAAAAGCCAGAUUCAUUACUGAUGUUUUCACUGUCAGCUCCAGGGCAUACUUAGAUAAAGAUCCACAUCUGGAACCUGCUGAAACAGAAAUUCCAAAGCUGCAGGAUGUUCUGAAGAACAUUAACAAGAGAAUUAACCGAGAACUGACCAGAGAUUAUGUCAAUGAAGCAAAGGGAGUUUUAUCCUUCAUUCAAAGUGUCCAACUAGAUACAGAUGAAAAAAUGGUCAGAAUUACUGAUAAUUCACUUGUCUUCUAAAAAUCAGCCAAUAGGUUUAUUGAGAAAUUUACUGCUACAUUGCUUUGUGUUUUAGGUGGAGGAAAAAGCUGAAGUCCAUAAAGCUUUGCAGAAGAACCUAGAAAAGGCACUGAAGGAGUUGGAUUGUCAGUUUGAUUUACUUUAUAUGAUUUUGGAUCAAUGUCUCUCAAAAGGAGUGAAGGAAUCAGUGGAACUGUGUGUUGACACCAAAAACUCCAUGAUUGCAUCUGUUGCACCUGUAGAUAAAAGGGGAUUCCAUAAAACCCUUCAAGCAUUGUACAAGAACAAGGGAUACUAUUGGCCAAAGAACUGGGAUGGACCCCUAGAUCUAAACAUGUGCUUGGCCACACACAUGCACGACAACAUCGAUGAGAAUUUUAAUUUAAUUUUUCCGUAUGUGUUCUGCUGUCAUUCCCUAUCCACUAUACCUUCAGUUGAUAAAAAUAAAACAAUUUAGAGUGUUAGAUGAGCAGUGUAUUGAAAUAUAUAAGCACAUCAG
rnacentral:lncRNA from 1 species